rnacentral:rRNA from 1 species
GUAGUUAGCCGGGGCUUCCUCCUUGGCUACCGUCAUUUGUUUCGUCACCAAGGACAGAGGUUUACAACCCGAAAGCCUUCUUCCCUCACGCGGCGUUGCUGGGUCAGGCUUGCGCCCAUUGCCCAAUAUUCCCCACUGCUGCCUCCCGUAGGAGUCUGGACCGUGUCUCAGUUCCAGUGUGGCCGAUCAGCCUCUCAGCUCGGCUACCCAUCGUCGGCUUGGUGAGCCGUUACCUCACCAACUACCUAAUGGGACGCGAACCCCUCUUAAAGCGGAUUGCUCCUUUGACCUCAUCCUGAUGCCAGGUCGUGGUCUUAUGCGGUAUUAGCACUUGUUUCCAGGUGUUAUCCCCCUCUUUAAGGCAGGUUGUUCACGCGUUACUCACCCGUUCGCCACUAAAGUAUCAACCGAAAUCAAUACUUCCGUUCGACUUGCAUGUGUUAGGCACGCCGCCAGCGUUCGUCCUGAGCAGAUACGACCUACGA